rnacentral:rRNA from 1 species
UAAGGAAUAUUGGACAAUGCCCGCAAGGGUGAUCCAGCCAUGCCGCGUGCAGGAAGACGGCCCUAUGGGUUGUAAACUGCUUUUGUACCGGAGAAAACCUCCCCUCGUGAGGGGAGCUGAUAGUAUGGUAAGAAUAAGCAUCGGCUAACUUCGUGCCAGCAGCCGCGGUAAGACGAAGGAUGCAAGCGUUAUCCGGAUUCAUUGGGUUUAAAGGGAGCGUAGGUGGGUUUGUAAGUCAGUGGUGAAAGCCGGUCGCUUAACGAUCGAAUUGCCAUUGAUACUGCAGACCUUGAGUACAGAUGCUGUGGGCGGAAUAUGACAUGUAGUGGUGAAAUACAUAGAGAUGUCAUAGAACACCGAUUGCGAAGGCAGCUCACAAAACUGUAACUGACACUGAGGCUCGAAAGUGCGGGGAUCAAACAGG